UAUAAAAGUCAGAACACUAAACUCAAAUAGUCACACUCACCUGAAAGACACCUUCAUCUGAGGAUCACCUUUAGCUGACAUUCAUUUUAUCCAGACGGACACCCUGAGCCCACCAGAGACCGGACACAUUCGGCAGGCAGAUUCAUCAGAAGUACUUCUCAAUACAUCUUCGCUGCUUAAUAAUAAAGGGAUGACCAUGAAGGCCACCUUCUCCCUGCUCUUCCUGAUCCUGGCCAUCACGUGCACUGUGAUUGCAGAAAACAAGCAAUACCAAAAAUUCAUGGCUCAGCAUUAUCAUUUCGGCAUGACAGUUAAAGAUUGUAAUAAUGACAUGAAUUAUGUCAAUGCAAAUUACAAUGGAGGCGAGUGCAAACGAUUCAACACUUUCAUCACAGGACAGAGAGUAGAUGCCAUUACUGCAGUCUGUCACAAUGCAGGGAGAGACUUCCCUGUGAAGGGCAGCACAAAUUCUUACAAAUCAACAACUAAAUUUAGUUUGAUCAUUUGCGAAUACAUAAAAGGAUCAAACCCUUGCAACUAUCAAGCAUACCCAAAAACACAAUUAAUUGUGAUUGCUUGUAAUAGCGGAUUACCUGUGCACU